AUUGAACGCUGGCGGCAUGCCUUACACAUGCAAGUCGAACGGCAGCACGGGUGCUUGCACCUGGUGGCGAGUGGCGAACGGGUGAGUAAUACAUCGGAACAUGUCCUGUAGUGGGGGAUAGCCCGGCGAAAGCCGGAUUAAUACCGCAUACGAUCUACGGAUGAAAGCGGGGGACCUUCGGGCCUCGCGCUAUAGGGUUGGCCGAUGGCUGAUUAGCUAGUUGGUGGGGUAAAGGCCUACCAAGGCGACGAUCAGUAGAUGGUCUGAGAGGACGACCAGCCACACUGGGACUGAGACACGGCCCAGACUCCUACGGGAGGCAGCAGUGGGGAAUUUUGGACAAUGGGCGAAAGCCUGAUCCAGCAAUGCCGCGUGUGUGAAGAAGGCCUUCGGGUUGUAAAGCACUUUUGUCCGGAAAGAAAUCCUUGGCUCUAAUACGGUCGGGGGAUGACGGUACCGGAAGAAUAAGCACCGGCUAACUACGUG
rnacentral:rRNA from 1 species